rnacentral:lncRNA from 1 species
GCAGAUUUGUUCUGACCUAAUUAGGCCAGUUGUAUGUACCCUCUGAGAUACUAAGGAAAGAGGGGUUCUUGCUAGCUUGGUUAGGUGUGAAUUUAAUAUAAAUUGACCCCUUAUUCUGCUUGAAAACUCAUCAGCCUUCACUAUUUGGCAGGCUGUGCAAGUGUAGGAUACUGGCGGUAUUGUGACUCAGAUGCUGUGUGGCUGAGGGUGCACCCCAUUAUGAAAGAGGCUGGCAGAGAUCCCUAGCAAGUUAAAGUCUGUCCAGAGAGUCCUAGGAGGAGAAGCAGAAAUGGCCUAUAUCAUCAAUGGAGAGGAAGUGCUGGCUCUUUUUUCUUCCUGGACAUAAACUGCUCUAUCUCCCUUCUCUGGAACAUUCAACUCAUGGUCACAUUCGUACUCUGGCUACCACUGUACACCCUCCCACCAAGAAAAUCCUUAAAAACAACUGCAAGGACAGCCUCAUAGUCCUUUCAAGGCAUAAAAUAAAAUUAAUGAUGGAGACCAGAAAUCCCACACUUCAAGUUCUUCCUUUGGAGGGAACAAGUCCUUGAAUGUCAAUGAUUUAGACCAGGUGGUAGGUAAUUCCCAAACUUUGCAUUGAUCCCAAGUCCACCAAUGUAAAGUGAUGGCAAUGGGCAAGAAUAAUACCAGGAAUAUCAGAGCUAAUGAGCAGCUGAUGAAACUUCCUGCACAAUCACCAAACCUAAUCAUGGUUUAGGGUCAUCUAUAAAAAGAGUAAAAAAAAAAAUGGCUAAAACCCUAUUGCAUACAAUCUCUUCUGAAAACAGGGUUAAAACAGAGCUUUAUUCUUUACCACCCCAUAUUUAGUUUUGUUACCCAACUCCCAAGACUAACUCCUAACUGGAAGCACCAAAGAGUAUGGGAAAUAACUAAAUCUUUAUUCUUUCAGAUGCCUCGGCUGUUAGACUUCCCUAUCCUCUUCUUCUAUUAGUUUUGCCUUCCUCUCAAUGACUCCAUUCUUGGAUUCAAGUCAUCUCAGAACAAGUUGUCUAAUGACUAUGGGGUGUUAAACUAUCAGUAAUAUGGAGGAGUCCCACAAUGGGCUAUGUUGGGCCCAUCUUUGCCAAUGCUCAUGCCAAUGCCUACUCUACCAGGACCCUCAACAUGGCCCACUCUGCUAUGGUUAGGGUCUGUUCUGCUGCCUG